rnacentral:lncRNA from 1 species
UCCUUUUCUGCUUUUCACUGCCACUGUGCAUUUCACUAAAUGAGCAGUUAAGCCUAGUUUGUUAAGUGUUGAGAGCAAGACUGCUCCCUGCUCUAACUCACACCAUACUGUGUAAAAGUGGUUUCCAAACUGUGUUCCGCACCGAGACUCUAUUUUUUACAAACAGCUUUUGAUCCAACUUGAGUAUGGAGGAUGACACUGCACUCAAGUGGACACGUGGAUGGCACCAUCUGUGCAAUACCAUCCGUGAAGUAUAGAUGAUGAAGACUUACUCUUGGGAGUAGAAACAGUGCCACACUAAACAUGUAUCACUGAUUUAACAGAUUGUAAGCUUGUGACUAAGAAAAGUGAGAUUUCCUCUAAUGGCCCAUGUGAAUGAUGAAGGAAUCCAUCCUAGGGCCUCAGGACUUCAACGUUUGAAUUGCAGUUGGAGAAGAUGGGGCAAAGCCAGGGGACAGGAAGAUGAUCAUCUGUAAGAUCUAGGGAAGGCUGAGACGCCUCUCGAUCAUCCACACAAAUCAUGAAAGGUCACCAAAGAAGGCAAAGAGAGAAACACAGCUAAGCCUAUGUCUCAAACCCGUAUGUCACAACCCCAGGACAUGUAUUCUGUCAUGUCCCAGCAGAGAAGUUAGUACACAUCUUUAGCAGGGCCCUGAGGAGAUUGGGCAAAAACCCCUUCUGGUGCCUUCAGAAGACUGAAGAUGGUGGGAGGCUCCUGUGAGAAGGGUGUGGCAAGUUUGUAGAAACGCCUCGGACUGGAUCAAUGAACAACUUGGUGAAAGAGGACAUGGGGUGCUGUUAAUUCAUUUGUGUUGUUGAAUAAAAUUUCAUGAACUAGUUAAGUUACAAAACAACCAGAAAACUACUUACAAUGCCGGAGGCUUGGAAGGCAAGACCACCAUCCCUGGGCUGGUGGUCCUUGGGCCUAUAAGAAAGCAGGCUGAGCAAGCCACGAUGAGCAACCUGGUAAGCAGCACUCCUCCAUGGCCUCUGCAUCAGUUCCUGCCUGCAGGUUCCUA